AGAAGAAAAGGGGAAGAGGAGGAAGAUCUGGAAAACUAUUUCAAAACUGAAAGAAAAGAAGAAAGAAUAAUUAGACACUCGGAACUACACAGAGAAGAACCUUAAGGUCCCCUUGGCAGCUGGUUUCUGGGAAUUUGACCAGUGGAAAGCUCUGGGAGAAGAUCGGAAGGGGAGAGACAGGGAGAGUGGAGGGUCUUUCUGCUCUUCUCUCUCUGCUUCUGGAGGCAUCUGGACAGCCCUUCCCCUCAAGCCAUUCUACCUACCUCCUAAUGACUCCAUCUGCUCACCGGUGGUUUCUCUCAUUAUGAAGAAGGGCCCAAUCAAUGAUCUAACCAACUCCACUGGCUCCACUUGCCUUUUUAGCUUGUCUCUCUUCUGAGCCACUUUCUUCCACUUUGGAUUCCAGGAACGAAAGGCCUGGUUGACAAGCAUUUUUAGGAUGAGGUACAGAAGAAACUACUUGAGCCUCUUCUUGCAGAACAGAUCACCCUGUCGACUUUGCCUAAAAGGAAGCAAUUACCCAAUGAAGGAACUCAGGCUGUGCCCCUAAGCAGGAACAAUCAUCUCCUGCUGGGAAUCAAAUCAUCCCCUCAAGCAAUGAUAACCCUCCCAGAGCUGCACAGAACUGGCCCAGGAGACAAUGAUCAACCAGACCGCGGUCUGACCAGGAUUACUCACUCUAUCAGGUAUACAAAUCCCCCAGUCAUGCAAGCUCCCAACCCUUGACUUUGUCCUCCUUUUCUAUGAAACCUCAAAGUUCCAGGGGGAAGGAAAAGGGCAAGGAAAGUGGGGGAACCCUCAAAGUUCCUGUCAGCCCGUUGGAGACAAAUCUUUGGUCACUGUGCCCUUAUAUUUCUUCCUGGUGUGGCCACGCUGAUGAAAAACUCCUCCCGUCCUUCACCACUGCUGACUGUUUGAUUGGCAUAUUGGGAUACAAAGCAGAAUCUGGCCUGUUGGACUAUUGGAGAAGGGGCCUUCGCCAAGGACUCUGGGAACACUUUGAGUGUUUGGGAGGCAAGGAUUGUGUCUUAUGUGCUUUGUCUUUCAAACUCCUAUGUGAAAGCCCAUGAAAGAGAAAAUAAAAGAAAUAAUGACAGGCCACAAUGGA